rnacentral:rRNA from 1 species
GUCUACGGCCAUGCCACCCUAAACAAGCCCGAUCCCAUCUGAUCUCGGAAGCUAAGCAGGGUCGGGCCUGGUUAGUGCUUGGAUGGGAGACCACCUAGUUAGACCAGGUGCUAUAGGUG